rnacentral:rRNA from 1 species
UACGGAGGGUGCGAGCGUUGUCCGGAAUCACUGGGCGUAAAGGGCGCGUAGGCGGCUUUGCAAGGCUGCGGUGAAAGCCUGGGGCUCAACCCCAGGUCUGCCGUGGCGACUGUGAGGCUUGAGCACUGUAGAGGCAGGUGGAAUUCCGGGUGUAGCGGUGGAAUGCGUAGAGAUCCGGAAGAACACCGGUGGCGAAGGCGGCCUGCUGGGCAGUUGCUGACGCUGAGGCGCGACAGCGUGGGGAGCAAACAGG